AAAAAAUGGUUUUGUGCCACUGUUCAUUUUACCCAGGUAUUUAUUGUUAAAACAACACAAGUGUAUUUCUUUUUCCACCAAAACACUAUUGUAUUGUGCUCUAUUAAUUUAAACUGUUUAAGUUUCCAUUUUACUUGAUUAUCAAUCGUUAAACUAACGUAAACGGUUUAAUUUCGCCGUUCAAAAAACCGGAUAUGACGUUUCCAACGCAUUUUAUGAAGACGGCGCGAAGGAGGUGUAUCAUGGCGUCGGAGCUAGAAGUACCAGUCAGCAUACAUUGAUCACUGGUUUCUUCAUCGCUGCCUAAUUUUGGCGAAAUGAAGGAAUGUCACAACUUUACUGACGGAGAAAAAAAGUUUUGGCUAAGAGGAAUGCACGCAGUUGUAAAUGUGAACUGGUGGAUGGUUAAGAAGCUGAUGUGUCUUCUA